CGGAUGUGACGCCAUUAGAUUGUGGGGUUGUAUUCUGUUCUGGGAAUCCUGGUGGUUGUUAGCUGGUCAACCUUUGCGACAGACAUGUGGAAGACUCGUUAAUGUCCACGAGUGGCUAUUUAGCUAGUUCAUUCAGCAAAAAAAUAGUCGUUAAUUCAUCCAACGACACCUCGGGCUUCAGUUUGAGACGGUUGAACUUCGUCUCUGCGUGUAGCUGAAUCAGAAAUAAUCGGAACAAGGUACGGAGCGAUGUCGCACUACUCAUCCUCCCGUAGCUCGUCUCGGGCGACCGACUGUAAAGUGUACGUGGGCGACCUGGGCAACGGCGCUGCCAAGGGGGAGCUGGAGCGAGCGUUCAGUUACUACGGCCCCCUGAGAACGGUCUGGGUGGCCAGGAACCCGCCCGGGUUCGCCUUUGUGGAGUUUGAGGAUGCCAGAGAUGCAGAAGAUGCUGUGAAAGGCAUGGAUGGAAAGGUCCUUUGUGGUUCCCGUGUCCGCGUAGAGCUGUCAACCGGCCUCUCCAGGAAGGGCCGCGGCCGCCCCAGCCGGCGCCAGUUUGACCCCAAUGAUCGGUGUUACCAGUGUGGGGACCGGGGCCACUACGCCUACGACUGCUACCGCUUUAGCAAGCGAGGAGGCCGGCGCAGCAGGUCUCGGUCUCACUCCAGGUCUAGGUCCAGGUCCCGUGGGCGCCGUUAUCGCUCUCGCUCCCACAGCCGUAGCCGUAGCCACAGCCGGAGCCGUCGUCGAUCUCCAUCCUAUUCCAGGCGCAGGAGCAGGUCUGGCUCUCCAGCCCGUUCCAAGUCCAGGACUCCAGUGAGAAGUCGCUCCAGAUCUCGGUCUGGCUCUGCGCACAGACGGCGCUCUCCCUCCCGAUCUCGCUCACCAUCUCCAGCAGCCAAUCACAAGAGGAAAAGCGUGUGGUGGGAGCUGAGCACCGCACUGUCACCACAGCUGAUCCCAGGCCCAGGGUCUGCCAGCUGGCGGUGUGUACGUCCUGCGGGAGGGUGACUAAGCGCUGACCUGAGAUCAGCCUUCGUCUGCAUCUGGUGUUAGACAGCGAGAAAGAGGUCAACCUUCCGACCGAACCCUCCCCACAGUGAAUGGGUGACCGUCUGUUCAACCGAAGCACACGCUAAGACGAGAUCAGCCCGUGCACACAUACAGUUGUUCUACUAGAGUUCUACUAGAGUCACCCAGCCAGCCAGCCUUCAGAUGUACCAGACGGCUGACCCACACAGAUCAGAGUUCGACCGCUACCUUUUAAAAUCCAUUACCUACCUACCAGACCCCCCUACCUACCAGAGUUCUUCGGCCUCUGUCUUAGCUUCUGAAAGAGAGCUGACGAGAGAUCAGUCUUCAAGAGCCUCCCAGCGCAGUGUCUCUCCGAGUUGUAGUCAUCCGUCCUACAGUCCUUUCAUCCUUCGCUUCUCUGUACUUGUUGUUUCUGCCACUGUCUCCAAAGUCGUUCCCGUACAGCAAGUCCUCACCGAAGCCCCACGCCGGCAGACGACUGAGCGAGGAAGACUUAUUAGUUCCCUAACAGACAGACAGACCCUCUACACUGCACCCGUCUGCUUUCAAAGCCCUACAGCAGCUGUUUUUGUACUUGUCUGUUUAGUCCCUGUCUUUUUUAAGAUUAAUUUUCUCCCCGGGGCUGUAGUCUUCGUGCAGCCUCAGAUUGUUGAAGAUUUAGUGAGUAUAGCAGACAAAAAAAUAAGUUUUGCAUUUUGGUAGAAAGUGUACUGCUGCCGCGUAGGUAGUCUUUCUUCUCGGAGGUCGCGUAUCGUAGGUAGCGUAAGAAGCAACACCUGUGUUAAGGUGAUACUGAAUGUUGGCUUUUAGCAGUGAAAUGAGACGCUUGUGCAGUACACUCUCUCUGGAAGAUAGCCCGGUUUAUGCGUUUGAGAGCAAAGACAUUGCAUUGACAACUGCUUUUAUUCCCUAAAAUUGAUAAACCAUCAAAACAUUUUCCCCAUUGAGAAUCGGCAAACACUUUUUUUUGUAUUGCUCUCCAAUUGGAUUUUUGCUUUUUGGAAAUGCUGUUGUAAGGAGGUAGUUGCUGGCCCGCAUGCAUUUUGAAUAUGUAGUCACAUUCCUGUGUGUUGUUUCUGUGCUGCACUGCCCCCUUUUACAAGCCUGACAGCUUUACUGUGUGCUGGAUGGAUUUCCCCCAAUGUGUUGAAUCGCCGACUUGUUUGUGACUUUUAAUUUUAAAAUAUAUACAGUGCUGAAGUUUGAUUUCUUUAAGGGCUGCUUUAACAGUUUUGUUCUGUUCCUGGCUUAUACUGUAACACAGUGGCAGUUUCAGUUUUGAAUAAACCUCUUCAAC